rnacentral:rRNA from 1 species
CCGGCGACCGGCGCACGGGUGAGUAACACGUAUGCAACCUGGCCGUGACAGAUGGAUAACCGGGAGAAGUCCCGCCUAAUACAACAUAAUGCCGGGAGGGGACAUCCCCUGCCGGCCAAAGGGGGCGACCCCGGUCACGGAUGGGCAUGCGGCGCAUUAGGUAGUUGGUGGGGCAACGGCCCACCAAGCCGACGAUGCGUAGGGGUUCUGAGAGGAAGGUCCCCCACAUUGGAACUGAGACACGGUCCAAACUCCUACGGAAGGCAGCAG